AUCGCUAACUCAGUUAGCGAUUUGACUCGUCCUUACGGCAGAAGGGACCCGGGUACGAACCCGGAUAAAAGCCCAAUUAUGCAAAAGGCGAAAGAUUGGUGCGAAACCGAUUGGUGAUCCCAUGAACGAUAGGUAAUUGCCCUCAGUGGCAAUUGCGGGCUUAUGCCGGCUGCAACCUAGAAAGGUCGUGGUGCAGAAGUCCGAUUUAGUGGCGAGGUCCAAGGUUCAAGACAAGGCUCAAGAUCCAAGGCUCGAGGAGGAGCGCCAUGGCUCCUCGGUUUGCACGAACUGGCAGUGCUCCACUACUAUAACGCGGCGUUUCCCUAGCACGAUAUGUUAGGUGUGCAGGCUCGGAUGUAGUGGACUUUGAAGAGCGGCCUAGGAAUUGGAGGUUGUAGUUUCGGAGGUUGUGACUCUUUCGUGGUGAGGCGUCAGCGUGAGGGGGGUGGGCCCUCUCACCCUAGUCACCUUGCCCCGUUAAUCCAUGCCAGGCCCUAUGGGCCGGCGUUGUAAUUAUUAUUAUUAUUAUUAUUAUUAUUAUUAUUAUUAUUAUUAUCCCUACCCCGGCUCCCCUGCGCGGGGGCCGCCAUUGGCGGUCCCCUGGGUGCGGCCUCCUGGGCGGCAUCGGGUGUUGGCAAUGCCCAUCUCUCACCCUACCGUUCCAGCCCCCAUUAAACCAUCGGUAAAUCACCGGUUACCUGGUGGUUAUCCCCGUGAGAAUGACGGCUUUGUCACCUCGGUUACCAUCAGUCUAAUUGGACUAGAGACGGCAGACCGACGGUCUAUAGACCACUUCACUGGUUACCGUCGGUUAACAGAAGGCAUGGUAACCAGCGGCUGACCGACCAGUUACCGUUCAGUGACCGGCGGUAACCGAUCAAGUAAGUGCUGCCGCCCAGGCCUGCCCAGCAGCCGCCCCAGCCCCUGGCGCCCGGCUGCCGCCCCAGCACCUGGCGCCCAGCUGCUGCCCAAGCCCCAGGCUGCUGCCCCAGCCCCCGGCUGCUGCCCCAGCCCCCGGCUGCUGCGCCAGUCCCGCAGUCACGCUACAACCCCCGCCCCGUCCAUGAGAGAGGCACAGUAGGCAUCCAACAGCUAUUACAAGACCGCAGUGGUCAUGCCCUGCCUUGCCCUUCACAAGACCAGAGGGAUAAAGUCCCUUGCAGCUGGGAAGUCCACACGCAGCCUACCUCCACGCUGAUUCACACAAGUGACUAGGCAUGGUCUGGCCUCCACAAUCCAUAGCAGCCACCUGAGCACUAAGCAGCACCGUCAUGGACACCAUGCGCCAACAUCGCAGCAUAUGUCCUAGCUCACUCCACCAUCCAUCCCUGCAGCAGCAAUGCGGUGCAAUAUGUGAGACGGAAUUGAAGGGAUGGGCCCAUCCCUUGCCUCAAAGCUGCCCUCCCUGUCCCCGGGACCAUGCCACUGCCUUGCAAACUUACGGCUUGACUGCAGUCCUCGCGCCACCUGCGGCCUUGACACCAUCCAGCCGCGGGAAAGGGCGCGAGCAUGGUGGGCCGUAACCUGAUUGCGAUGCCAUAGCAACUGUAGCCAGCUCCAUGCCCUGUGGGGAACAAAUAAUGCUUAGCCAAACCUCUGUACCAACCCUUGUAAGCUCGUCGCUAGGAAAUAUGUGGAAAAUGGUUGCUCGGCGAAAGGUGGAGCGAAAGACCGCAGGUAUCUGUGUUCUGCUAUGCUUUGCACUCUGCAUGCUGACAACCAACGCAACCACGGCUGGGAAAGGGGCUGGACCUGCCGCGGCCGAACGCUGGUUUGACUGGGGACCGCCCCGGCGAGCCAGUGCUUUCGUGCACUUAGGCAACCAGCGAACUCCCCAUGACCAUAUGUGGUUUGCAUAUCCGUCUCGAACGGAUGUAAACGAGCUCUCUCUGAGGGAGAGGAUUUCGCAUGGCUACAGCUUCCCCGCGAACGCGACGCUAUCGUCGCAUCGCUGCUCUCAGACAGGCAUACUUGAUGCCAGUAUCCUGCACACAACGUGCUACACAGCUAGCAAGCUUGCUGGCACCGGGCCCCUCGGCAUGUCGCAAAUGAGACCCUCGCAAAGCCCAGCUGCUGCAAAGCACCCGCAUAUUGAGGGGCUUAUAAGCUCCAAGCACAUACCAGUUGCCUCAGAGCCGCUCGCCAACGACGUCCCAGAAAGGGGCCGAGCCGAACCUCCAGUAUUUACAGCUAAUUCCCAGCUCUAUGAAAAUGCGAGUUUGCUCACAGAACCACCACCGACAAGCUCCGAACGAAGGCAAUACCGAAGCCCUAGCGGACUCCUGUCGCGCGCAAAGGUUAAGCCCAAGCCUGGAUGCACCAACAUACGCAAUGCGAUGAUAACGGCUUUGCAGCCGGUAGGGGAGGGGCUCCUUUCUACCAAUCUGAAAAUAGCACAGGCAUGCAGAAAUGGCGUGACAAAAUUAUGCACAGCGGAGGGAGCAUACCGUUCAUAUGCGACUAAGACAAUCAGGCUGCUUGCAGAGAGCCUAUUGACGAGUGUGCUUGCGCUGGGCGACCUGGGCAAUCGGCAUGGAGGAACCCUGCUGCGCUCCGGUGCUUCGGCACUGCACUCCAUGGCAGAAACAGCCUACGGGCCGCAACCGACCCUUAACUGUAGCGCCCCCUGGGAAAGAUCACCACUCCUUCGCCUGCACCUUACACUCGUCGUCCACUUCCACUGGGCUGGAGCAGGGCAUGUGCGGGCAGCCAUGCACAGCCAUACAAUUGCCAACAGAGUAGCCGCACAUCUUGCUACCCGGUCUAGACUCGCCAUCUACCAAACAGCCGCCCAGACUGGCAAAGCCCUACACACCAUACUUGACAAAGCCAUUGUCAGCCUCACAAUCAUGGCCGCGACAGGGGCCAUGUAUACGCUCUGGACCCACCUCCUGCAUGCCGAAACCCGCACUGCCUCAGUCAACUCAGAAAUCUGUACAAACGGUGCAAUCCUCAGCCUGCUACUAUGGGGUCCCACACUCACCACUCUCGCUCUCUCCCCUCUGUGUGUAAUAGCGCUUGCCCUCGGGAUAACCGCCAUCCCCGCAGCCCUCGGUCUCCUGUUCGCACUGACAGUGACAUCCAUCCUUGCCGUCCUCUGUCUCCCAGCUCUCCUCAAACAUGUGGUCCAAGUGACACGGCAGAUAGCCUCUGCAACCUGGGCCCGGCGGAAGCUCCUACUCUGGGGAACUGCCAUGGUCAUUAUCCUGCGAAACCUGUACCUCACACUGCCGGACCCUUGCAGUGUGCAACCGGCACAGCUGACACUCUGGGGGCCAGCACUGGCCACCGGCCUACUUACUGCUAGCCAGGCAACCACUCUCCUCACGCUUACAUAUGCAGUAAACCGGACACACACGGUGGCCUACGUCAAGCCAACACUGCGAGGUGCGCUGCCCACAGGCCCGACAGCCCCGCCGGCGCCCGCCGACCCUCGCAUUCAUGCGGCAGUGAACACCCAACCACCAGCCGCGCUGCACUGGCCGCCCCGGUCCAAUGCAACAUACCGUGAAACACAGCGGCAACACUUCUGCAGUGUCCACGCCCUCAACAACUCUUUGGGGCUCGCAUGGCUCGACCCUCUAGAUGUCCUCUCUUAUGCUAAACGAGUGCACGCUCACCUUACAGCCGCGCAGGAUCCGAAUGCCCUGUUCUGGAAAGAAUGCUACUGCCCCAACAGUGGCGCCUUCAGCGAACUUCUCCUGAACCACUACCUGUACCACAAUGCCACCAUCAGCAACAUAUUUGCCUACCCCAACAGGAAGCUGAUUAUGCGCCGAACCCACUUUCCCCGACUCAAUGGCGACAUCAGCAAAGAAAAGGUCCUAGAGAACCUUCCGGUAGCCGCCCGAACUCGCGGCUUUACCGUCCACCAAUACACUGUGCGACACACAAUUGCUGUGCGUUACAAAGCAGGACAAUGGAGAGUAAUAGACUCGGUGAACAGCCCUAUCCACAACACGGUCUUACACGACAACACUUGGAACACACUUGAUGGGGAGGUCUGGUGCCUUGACGCGGUGCGUGCAUCUGACACGGCAACACUUCAGGACACACUUGGGCAACUCCGUGAGAUCGUCCCGCCACCACGCCCGCCACCCCACAUGGAGGCCACCAGACCCGUGCAGACAGGGCCCGCCGCCACAGGAAGGCCGGCACCAGAGCCCGCUCAACAUGCCCAAGACAACUCACCGCUGCGGGCAGCACACAGGGCGCCACAGCAUGCAGCACCCCACACUACCGCACCCGCGCAGCCACACAAUGCAAAUGCUGGCAUAGCACCCCGACUCAACACGACAGGCACCCGACAAACUAUCCUUAACUGGCUAGUACGGCCCACUGCACGCAACCAUGCCCACAUGGAACCCAACCAGGCACACACAAACACGCGACCCCCCAGCAGCAACACCACCCUACACAUCGUGACCCACAAUGUACGGGGACUGCUCUCAGAAAUUUUGUCCACCGGCCAACCCGGCAACCUCAGCUUCACCCUCUGCAACCUAGCCCAGUGGAAAGCCGACAUAGUUGUCCUAACUGAGACAAAACUGACAGGGAAGACUGACUCUAUCAAGCGAGCCUUCCGAAAUGAAGGAUACCGCCUCUACUGUAGCACUACUCCCCGCGUGGCCACAGCGCGCGGUAGCGCUGGCGUAGCGGUGGCCAUCUCCGCCCGGUACAGUGACCUCGGCUGUGUCACACACCACACGCCCCCACCAACACUCCAUGGCUAUGUGUCACACGUUCAAAUUAAGACCCCGGGGAGCACGCCUCUCACUGUACUGGGCAUCUACGCACCAGAGGACAUGCAAACCCGCAAGGCAAUCUACACAUACUGUCAGCAGGUGGUAGGCCGGGCGGACGCGUGCGGACACCACCUAGUCACCGCGGGAGACUUUAACGCCGUCGCCCGAGCACAUGAGCGGGACAGCCCCAUCGACACGGCGGACCGGGCCCACCAGCGGUUCCUUGCCGAUAGUGGCCUGUGCCCUAUCCGCGGAGACACCACUACCACUGCCGAAUGGUCAUAUGAACAAUCACGCCCGGGCAUGGCCCCAUACCACAGUCGCAUCGAUGACAUCCUCCUAUGCCCUGCCACGCGCGCUGCAUGCACAGAAGCGCGUGAAUACACCAGUACAGUUGCAGGCAACUUUGACCACAAACCAGUCCACGCAGAGUUACUAGCCGCGGACCUACAGCUAUGGCCGGCACCACAGGCCGGCGCCCGGAACCCAGCCCCCCAGCAGCAGACCCAACAACGAUGGGCCGAGGUCGCCCUGCCCGUCACACAAAAGCAACUGGCCGCCGCAGCUAUCCGCCUUGAGGAAGCCUUGGUGGAAGCAACAGCCGACCUACAUUCCGCAACAAGGCAGGCAACGCAAUCAAUUGAACAUGCACUCACGAGGCACAGCAUGGACCCCACAGGCUACCCCGCCAGCGUCAUGCACCGAGACCUUGCGCAGGACACGAGCAUCCAGAAGGCCGAUAUCAACCAACUUGCAGAACAACUUGCCUCCGCACUGGACACCGGGCUAACAUGCCUCCUUGAAGAGUGCACCCGGAAAGCCCCCUUCACUGGCAAACACCACGCAUCACGCUCCACCGCACGGGUGCUAAAGCCCCUAUGGGACAAGGAAGUGGCCCUGAAGACACAACUGACAAACCUCACGCAAGGGCCCCAGGCCCUACCUGAGGUAGACGCCGCCAAUGCAGCAGCAAAGCUGCGGAACGAAAUAAAGGCCUGCCAGGCCGAGCACCGCCAGCUAGUGGCGGACCGCGCCAAAGCCCAGCGAGAGGCCGCUGCCACAGCGCUGCAACAUACCCUGGCCACGCGCCCUGCACAGGGGCACAAGAGAAUCUUUCAGAAGGAAGACAUGGAACGGGGUCUCCCAGCGGUCCGGAACCCAGAAACUGGGGAGGUGACGACUGACUCCACCAGCAUCCUCGCCAUACUCGAAACCCACUUCCGAAAGCUGUCCGCCCCACCACGCGGCACCCGCACUGGGGACUUCCGACUACCCAGCAACGCCACACGCGGCUACCCAUUUGAGAAAGCCGACGCAACAGAUCAAUUCACACUGGACCGCAACCGGCACCCUGACACACACUCCAUGCUCCCCAGCAUGGCAGACACGGCAAAUUUUGAACAGUGCAUUUCUCACCUCUCCAGAAACAAGGCGACAGGCCCUGAUGGCAUACCAAACGAACUGCUCCGUAUCCUGCCAUCGGGCAUGAAGCGUAACCUCCACUGUAUCCUGCAAAUCAUGUACGUCAAAUCACAAAUACCUGAAACCUGGGCCGCAUCGGAGACCGUGCUACUCCCCAAACCUGGAGACGCCCUGGACAUAAAAAACAAACGGCCCAUUGCGCUCGCAAACACCUGCUACAAGCUGUACACGUCCAUGCUUACCUUGGGCAUUGGUGAACUGGCUGGCCCCCUCCAGCUAUUCAGUGAAGCACAGGAAGGCUUCCGUGCCUACUGCAACACCGAAAGGCAGGUCCUAAAUUUAGUACAUGCCCUUGAGGAUGCCGCACUGUUUGGAAAAGAUGUCUAUGCGGUAUACGUGGACUAUAGCUCCGCGUUUAACACAAUCGACCAGGACCGAUUACUACAAAUUAUGUUUGACCUUGGGCUGCCAACGGACCUGAUCCGCGCAGUCCGCAACCUAUAUGCACAUGCGACCACCCACAUCCGCACCGAACACGGAAGCACAUCCGCCAUUCCUAUAGAGCGAGGCACCGUGCAAGGUGAUACACUCUCACCUGUGCUCUUUAUUCUGUUCAUGGAACCUCUUGUCCGCUGGCUCCAUGCGGGCGGACGGGGCUACCACUACGGCUGCCUGACCCCGAGCGAAAACCUGCAAUACCAUUGCAGUGCCGCCGCGUACGCAGACGACCUGGCGGCGCUCACCAACUCGCUCGACGACCUGCAGGUUCAAUGUGACAAAAUCGCAUCUUACGCCGAGUGGGCGAGCCUGCGUGUCAAUCACACCAAGUGUGCCACCACCGCCAUCUGGCACGACAAAUCUCGCUCGGACCCCAACCUUGACGGGCCCACAGGAAAAGCUACCCUCGCCGCCAUGCGCCGCAACAUGACCAACACAAUUAAGAUUGGCACGACCCCUGUCCCGUACUUCCCCCCGACCCAGCCGUACAAGUACCUGGGAGUGCAGCUCACGUUCUCGCUGGACUGGUCGGCACAUGUCGCAAGAGUCACCGAGAUUGUGAAGGACAAGGGCACAGCCAUUGCCACAUCCCUGGCGACACCGGCACAACGCCUGCGCAUGAUACAACAGUGCGUGCACACCACAGUUGCAUAUGGAUUCGCAGCAAUGCCCUUCACAAAACAGGACAUAACAACGCUCGACACUACCCUGGCUGGUUUUGCAAAGCGCUGCUACGGACUCCCCCGCAGCUUCCCCACCCGGACCUCCCUCCUGCCCGCCGACGAAUACGGCUUGGGCCUGGGCUCCCUCCUGCCGCAAUACGCGCGCGUGGCCCAGCGAGCCCUGGUCCUUGCCCUAAAUGACUCGAGCCGUCUUGGGAUAGUAACCCGAGCCCUUCUGCCGCGCCAGGCAAGCAUAGCUGGCCCCACACAGGCCCACCUUCUCCCAGCCCAUAGGUCACACCACCUUACGACGCUGAAACAGAUGACCCUGGCAAAAGAGUACGGUGUCACACUGUACCAAAAUGGGUCUGCCUUUACUGCGCCUACCUGGUCCAUUGCCGCUGCCCUUGAGGCAGAAGCUGAGGCCCGGGGCGUCGAACCUCUCCCCAUUGAAUACGUCCUCCCUCUUGCGGACCUGAGGCUCGAACUGAGCCACCUGGUGGACCGCAACACAGGCAAACACCUGAUUACUAGCUCGGACCUCGAGAAGCACAUGGGAGCGAGCCGGGUCCGGCACAAGCACAAGGUAGCCCUGAACAGGCUUAGCCUUGCUCUCAGUAUGGCUGCACGUGCAGGGGAAAACGCUCCAGCCCACGGCAGCCCUGCCCCCCUGACCACCGCACAGCGUGCACUGCCUGACGUGGCCGCAAUCGUGGCCUUAGCCAUGAGGGCGGACCCCCUCCCUCUCGGAAUGGCCAACCCCCUCGACCGGUACCUGCAGCCCCUCACGGAGGCGCCCCCCGUCCAAGCAAACACCACGCAAGCCCCCGCCGACCUAGCCCCCCCCUCCCCAGCAGGGGCGGCCCAGGCCCAUCCCGGCGCACAAGGUGCUGCUGCACCGGAAGUCCCCGCUGAUGGGGCAACGCAACCCUCCCUACGGCCACCGGCCAGAGCCCGCAAGCCGGCUACAACACGCCGGCCACAGAACCAAACACGCGCACGGCGCGUUACAAAACAUGCAGCGCAACGCGCACGCAUUGCAGAAACUACACGCACUACCCCUGAGGACCUACUCACCGGGGACCGCGCCGCCAUCAACCAUGCCCUGCGGCUCACCAACGGCAAUGAGAGCCUGCCGGUGGGCACGCGGGGGUACGAAACGGCAUGCUCGGUAUUCCAAGCGCUCGCCAAAGACAUGACAGGACACAUGCGGAUCUGCCACCCACACCCACAAGACCCACCCUCCCUUGCACAUGCUGUCGAACCACGCCAACAGCGCCGUGGGCUACCACCCGCCCUCACAUCCCGCCUCACGGCGAAUGCCGCCAACCCCGAACCCAACGCCAUAAGCGAGUAUCUGAACAACACAGGAUUGCCGAUGGAAGUCAACCAGGCUGCCGCUCACAACGACCCCAUGGACGCCGAUAGCCCGACGCCGCCCCUGACCGCCCCGGCAGCGCAAGCUGCGGGAGGCCACGGGGCCCGUCCCAGCUGGCGACUGGCCCGCGCCAGGAUCACACACGAUCUAGUCCCACGGCCCGCCGACAACCGCACUAACGGUGACACUCAACUCACCUACGACCUGGACAAUGACGGACAGGAACUGGCACAGGUCCUGCACAGCGAAAACAAACAAACUGUCACGGACAAAGAACUGACACGGAAGCGCAAGGCCAGAGAGGACACCUCUGGGACACGUGAAAAAUACUGGAAGGUGCAGUGGAAGCCGUCCAUUUGCCCUGCCGGCAUUGUCUCUGCUUUUGUUCGCAUGGGCUACGCAACUAUCCAGAACGCCAGGUGCUACAAGCACCCUCUUGCGACGCGCCCAGGCCCACAACCUGCGCAGACCGAGGCUGAGCCUCCGGCUGAAACCCAAGCCCACGCAAUCUCACCUGAAGAGCCUGCCCAAGCUGCAGAGCCGGCAGCACCGCAGCCCACUGGGGCCCCCCUAUUCUCGUCCUGGACGACCAAACUCCUGCGACAUGUCACGUGGGCGCCGAGCACGGACCGUGAACGGGACCUAAAGCACAGUCCACAAUGGGAGGAGUUACUGGAGGAGUGCAAAACCCGGCUAGCAAACGGUACCAACCAAGGCCCGCGGCCCCGAACAGUGCGCCCCGCACCUGAUCGGAACCUUACCGCCAGACAGCGCCAAGGCCGCCACGACGCCGAGCCCCUGCAUACCGCAUCCCGCGCGCGUGACAUCCGCACGACCACCACCAUCACCACAAGCCCGUGCAACCCCUACAAGGACAUCGUGGCCCCCGGAGCAUACACAAUUACCACCACUGGUGGCACCCGCCGUGACCCAGCUGAGGCACACGUCCAUGAACCCAGUGGCCGCUGGCUGGGCACCAUCACCUACCCCCGCCUCCUUACCCUGUGGGAGCGCUUCAGGCACACCGGCAACCAGCGGCCCAACGCCUUUGAGGAAGCGGUCGCUGCCCUCAUCAUGCGCUACCGCUAUGACCCGGCGCAGCAGGACCGCAAGGCCAUGCCAAUGCACCAGGUGUCGCUGCCGGCAGGCACAGUAGCAGCCAUCGUCCAAUGCCUGCGGGUCACACAAGCAGUACACAUUCGGGAAAUGUUUGCGUCCCCACUAAACUCCUCCACUGCAGCCCACGAAUACUGGACACGAGACCCUGCUGAUGGGGCCUUUGGCGCACUGCACGAUGCCUACCAGACCGCAUGGACCGGCUUGCAAUAUGCCCACCCCCCCUCUACCCCCCACGAUGCACGGAAGGCGCUCAUGUGGGCCCUCGCAUGCGCCGAGGCUAUGCGUGACUCACAGGAACCAACCCUUACUGUAUUGGUGCUCCCCAAAGCGGCCACUUUCCCCCACACGCAGUGGCUUCAACACCCACUUUGCCACGAGCUGGCCAACUGGUCCGCGGGCACCGCGGGCCUUGACACAGGACUUGGCACCAACACCCAGGCUGAACGCCAGAAGGGGCUCCGACUGGUCAUUGUUGGGAACCCCGCCGGACUCCAGUGCUUUGCCCCCCGCCUGAAACGGCUCGUGGACACACUGAAAUAAUAAUAAUAAUAAUUACAACGCCGGCCCAUAGGGCCUGGCAUGGAUUAACGGGGCAAGGUGACUAGGGCGAGAGGGCCCGCCCCCCUCACGCUGACGCCUCACCACGAAAGAGUCACAACCUCCGAAACUACAACCUCCAAGUCCUAGGCCGCUCUUCAAAGUCCACUACAUCCAAGCCUGCACACCUAGCAUAUCGAGCUAGGGAAACGCCGCGUUAUAGUAGUGGAGCACUGCCAGUUCGUGCAAACCGAGGAGCCAUGGCGCUCCUCCUCGAGCCUUGGAUCUUGAGCCUUGUCUUGAACCUUGGACCUCGCCACUAAAUCGGACUUCUGCACCACGACCUUUCUAGGUUGCAGCGGGCACAAGCCCGCAAUUGCCACUAAGGGCAAUUACCUAUCGUUCGUGGGAUCACCAAUCGGUUUCGCACCAAUCUUUCGCCUUUUGCAUAAUUGGGCUUUUAUCCGGAUUCGUACCCGGGUCCCUUCUGCCGUAAGGACGAGUCAAAUCGCUAACCAGCUAGGCCGGGGGCCUGAUUGUGCACACCCUCCUCCUCUGGGCGCGAGGCGGGGGAGGGGGUGGGUGUGGGAUGCCCCGCGGCACGUAUGGUCAAGGUGUUGGGAUAGGGAGGACGCAGGCCGGCGACGAGGUUUGCUGCAUGUAUACUGCCGCCAUGCAGCAGCCAAGACCUUCGUUGAAGGGCGGCGUGCAUGUGUGUGUGUGUGUGUGUGUGUGUGUGUGUGCGUGUGUGUGUAAUGCACGGUAUGUGCGUGUUCGUGUGUGUGUGUGUGCCUGAAAGGUUUGUCAGCCGUACAGGCAUUGAUUGGUGCAAAGUAAGCAAGGAGUGUUCACCAGUGCCAUCACCAACAAAACUGAUUAACGGGCUGUGUCAUGAUGGUUUGCAAGUCAAGAGCGCUCAUAUCUUACGAAGGCAGGGGCGGCGUCAGUGGCCGAAUUCCUUAAAAUAGCUUGGUUUAGUUGACGAAACAGGCUGCCGCUGCUUCACGCCCCUGACUCGUACUCCUUGCUGCGUUCCGCCGACGUAACCUGACUCUCCCGUCAGGGGAAUCCCUGUCUCCCGCCGUCCACACUCAACAUGCAUAGAUACAGCCGUUUGAGCCUUCUUACGAUAUGCCACCAAUUCUAGCGCGCGACCAAGGCAAAUGUAACGACCGCCCCCAACAUCAUUAGCGCUUCUAUGGUGGUGUCCAUUCGUGAGGCAGACUCUGAACACACGCAACAGUGCAACAACAACAGCUAUAACAAACCACCUCAGCGCUUGUGAUGAUCUGUGGUCAACAGCCGUCAUUGAUGUGUGAGGCCUACGUCUCCCUUGUUGCAAGUCGUGGUGCAGAUGCAAGCAGAGCUGGCCUGGCUUAGGGCACGUGCGCUAGUACCCACGCAAGCUGAUACGGGAGCACGUUGAUCACGUCGGGUGGUGCGCCAUGGCGAGAGUGCAUCAUGUGCAGCAGAGCAGCAUGCAGGCGCCGCCAUUCAUCUACGGAAACGGGCGCGUGCCAGGCCUCCCACAGGUGCACGACUUCGAAUCCGUGGCCGUACACGCUCCACGCCACGUCAGACGUGUUGGUGAUGGUGGGAGGACCAGGAGUGGGUGCAAGUGCAUUGCCGGGCGCGGUGGGAGUGGUUGGCUGGAGAACGUUGAAUGCUGCAACGGCCAUGCCGUCGGGCGUGGCGCGCAGGACGCGCAGGGUUGGCAGGUUGCAGGCCCAGAGUGCGAAAUUCGCGGCACUGGAGAAACUGGAGGGAGCGUCAGGUGGGCCCAGGAGAAUGGCACCGGUCCAUGCGCCGGUAGACUGCACUUGUUGGUGCCCCUGCGUAGGGUGGGGGAUGGCGGAUUGGAGUGGAGGUGUGGGCGUGCAGUGGAAGGCAUGGGGCCGCAGCAGGUUUUGGAUGCGGCAGGUAGAGGGCGGGAGGUACGGUGGACACCUAGACUCCUAGGCACGACGCUGCUGCCGUGCGAGCCCCUGCCGCACCCGGACACGUGCCCGCACCUGCUGUAGGAGUAGGUCGUAUGCCCAUUGCAUAGCGUGUUCGCUGCCGGCCAUGGCGAUGGCGUCAAGGUCGAUGCGAGCGCCACGGUCAUGGAGGAGCUGCAGGAUGGGCAGGGGUGCGCCAUUGCGGGCCGCGGAGGUGAAAGCCGAGUUGUAUGCCCAGGUGUCCUGCGGAUGGGCAGGCGGUACGGCUGCAGCCACCAUGGCAACUGUGUCCCAGGAGGAGAUCUGUGCAACCAUGUGCAAGUCGUGCGCUGUUAUGCUGAAACCGCGGCGUAGGAAUGCUUCUGCUUGUGGGCGGUUGUCUCUAAGCCGGAUGACGCCCUCGUCGCGGGUCGAGGAGAAGAGCGUACAGCCUGCGUUGCAGUGGCGCGCGGCCAUUUCGCCCAUGUGGAGGACUGUGUCUGCAGCUUCGUCAGGGGUGCCAUGCUGUAGAAGCAGGCGGUUGCGUAGGUCCUGCGGCACAGCCACGCCGGCUGCGGCCAGCGUUGCUAGGACCGCGGGAAUGUUUCUGAGGUUCGGGUCGCGCAGGAACGUGUCAGAGCUCAGGAGGUCUGUUGCAACAGCCUGCCAGCCUUGCGGUGCGCGCAGCAGCAGCAGCUGGAUGCUGUCUGUGUUGGGCACAGGCAGUUGAGACGCCGCGAGUGUGAUGCUGCGGCAGACGCGCAGCACGACUGACGGAUCGGGUGGCUGAGGUGCUGGUGGCUGCGGCAAGGCUUCUUGAAUGGCUGGCUGUUGUGGUGGUGGCGCAGGCGCUGCUGGCGGAGCCACGGCUGGGAAGGCAGGUGGCUGUUGUGCUGCCGGCGCGUCCACCGCGGGCGGUUCUGCUGCUGGGUCCGCAGGCAGUGGCAGCGGCAAGCUGUGCGGCCACUCAGGAAUGUAGGUGGUGAGCACGUGGUUCAGGAACUGGGUGGAGCAGCCUGCUGCGAUGCCGUCCAUGAUUUUGGCUCGCCAGUACGCGCCGUACCAGCUGUACGGCGGGGCAUGCUGCAGGGCGCGCUCGACUAGGGCUGUGUGUCCGCGUGCAGCCGCUGCCUUGAUGCUGCUUGCUGGAAGGGUGUGCCAGGCGUCGUGCUGUGCGAAUCGGGCGUUAAGGAAGUCUAGCACACUGCUGUGGCCGCCGAUGCAAGCGCCCUGUUGCGUGCUGGUGUACAGCUCUUGCCAGUCUUGAGGGUCUGCGUGUGCUACCGUGUCGAAGAGGAGCGUGAGGACAUCAAGGUGCCCGGCGCUGCCGGCGGCCACGAAUGCUGAGCAGGUGAGCGCGCAGCCGUGGCUGAUGAGCUGUUGGCAGAGGUGCAGCAAGCCAGCCUGCGCGGCGGAUGCCAGUACCUCUGUGUUCAUUGCAACGCCGCUGUACUGGAUUGCUGCAGUGGCGCUGGCUGCGUGCCCUGACGCCGCUGCGAGGCAUGCGAGCCGGCGUCGUUGCGGCAGGGACAGGUGGGCCCAGGCGGCUGCGGUGGCGAAGUUCUCCUGGAAUGCGCGGCCGGGCCAGCCCGGUGGUGGCACGUGCGUGUCAAGCCGCCGAGGUCGCAAGUAUCCAGGGUACGUGUGCGGGCCGGCGAGAAACACGCGGCGGUGCUGAGGCGCGGAAAGGCUGUUGCGCAGGAAGCGCGAGGUGCGCCGGAGCGCAGUGGCCCCAUCAGCGGUGUUAAGGAAGGUUGCGAUAUGGAGCCAAAGGUCGGCGGGCAGGUUCUGCCAGUCCGGGGCCAUGUCGGUGCUAAAGUUGAGGCGCGUGCAACUAGAGUGCCGGAUUUGACUAGGCGCUGGAUAUAGCGGGCGUGAUGUUGGAUAUGUACUGUUAUAUUUGGUUUCAGCCUUUGUGUUCAGCGUAGGCGUGAGUGUGAUCGAGAUGAUGGGCGACUCGCGGAUUGCCGGUCGCAAAGGUUGCCGGAUGGUUUAAUUAUAUAGACCUUGUGGUUUCCUUAUAUAGACUUGGAAGCCUCGUGGUUUAUUUAUAUGAGGAAUGAGUCGGGUUCGGUGCGAGGCCGAUUUGGAGAGCGCGCGCAAGAAGCCGCGGCAGGACGCGAAUGAUGUGCUGAUCGUCCCGUUCGGGCCGAUGUCUGUGGAGGCAGGCGAGGCGGCUCAAGCGCAGCGGUAGGUAACAGCGCCGGGAAUCGGAUAAGCCUGGCGGCUCAGCGCUCGGGCGCGCGAUGAAGCUGGGCAGUGGCUUUUUUGCGGGUGCUGACAGCAGGGAUGUGGAUGGGUGCAUGGCAAAGGCGGAGCGGCAACGUUGGAAGGCGUUUAAGUGAUUGCGUGGGAAUGUGCUGCGCUCGCCGCUGCAAAUGCAGAUCGGAGCGCGCCAAGGCCGACGCACAGCUGGGCGCCAACAUGCUGCUGCCGCCGUAUCAGGGCCGGCUGGUGGUCGGGAGCACGGGCGUGAUCGCGCGCACGAUGGCGCAUCUGCGCGCGCGGUACGCCUUUGUUCCGAUCCCGGGCCAGACCAAGCUUCGCAAGGUGUACGCGUGCGAGACUCCGGCCUGCAACGCUCGUAUGGAGUGGGUUGCCAAGGAUGCUACCGCCAAGGCCUGGCUCGUUUCGCAUAGCCCGCACAGCCAUGCGGCAGCCGCGCCGACGCCUACGGCGACACCCGGCCAGCUGACAAGGUGUGUUUGAUGGAGUGGGACCACGCGUGUUGGUGUGCGCGUGUGCGUGCGGGGUGGGGGUGGGGGUAGGGGUAGGGGGGUAGGCGGAAUCGGGGCCAGGCAAGCGGGCGAGGGGUACAGGAGCUCGCAGUGGGCGCGAGGUACAUAGGACCGCACAGGGGUGCUUUGUGGGGCGCUGUUUUGAGCGGGCCUUUGCGCACGUAUUGUGUAUAUACAGGCAAGCGCUGCGCAACAAGAACUUCUGCAUCGCCAAGACUUGGGUGGAGACGUUCAAGCGUACACUGGUCGCCGCUUAGCUGAGCAGGUGCAGUAGCGGGAUUUCUCAGCACAGCAACGGCAGGGCACCAGCGUACUGAGAUCGGACAGGUCUGCUGCGCGUGCGGCAUGACUCCCCCGGUGCGGGGGAUUCAGGCGAAGCGCUGGCCGCUUGCGGCAGGCGUGGCUGCCGACGCUGUCGUCGGCAGCACCAGGCUCUGCAUCGCCCCCGUUGUGUGGGGCCCGCAUCCUGGGUAGUGCAGCGUUGGCAGGGGGGUAGUUGCGCGGGAGUAGUUGCUUGUGGGAAGUGGAGGGAGGUGCAUGCGCAAGAUCUGUUGCAGCAGUGGCAUGAUUCCCCCGGUGCGGGGGACGUAGUCAUUGUUUGCAGCAGCAGGCUCUGCGCUGCUCCCGUUGUGUGGGGCUUGCAUCCUGGGGAGUGGGGUGUAGGCGUGGGCAUGGGUGGGCGCCUUGCAUGGGUGAUUCACACUGACCAUUGUGCCUGCAAUUGUGUGUUCUGUGCAUGGAGGCGCGAGGAGGGUGCUGCGUCAGCGGAAGCUGCGCAGGAGCUGCUUGUGCAAGGCGUGGCCAGCAGCAUCGGGUGGGUUCGCUUGUAUGUGCGGCUGUGGGCAGGGCAGGCAGGGACAGUGCAUGCCAACUGCUGCAAGGCACUCUGCUGACGCUGUGCACAUGUUUGGAUACCCGCAUGGUUGCAGGGAGGGGCAGUGGUGCAAGCUGCGCCCGGAUCUGGACGCGCUCGGCGUGAAGCUCGACGCCAACGGCAUCGUCACGCACCUCAAGUACGCCCUCGCGCCGCCCAAGCCGCCCAGCGCACACCUCGUGGAGGUGAUGCAGGCUGGUGCCAUCCGCGACAUCCUGAUGGGCAUGGGCUGGGCCGCGCUGCCGGAGCAGCAGUAGUGCGCAGCACGCAGGAGUGGACACACGAGCGGCUGGCUGCAGCACAGCAACGCAUGCAUGAUUACGACCUAGGCGGGCAGUACGCCGCACAGGCACUCGCGCAGGCGCAGGGAGCAGUGCAGCAGCAGCUGCUGCUUUACAACAGCGGCACUGCAGCAGUGACAGCGAAGCUGGUGCUCAUCUCGCCAUUGGCGGUUACCACAGCCGCCCCAGAGGUGCAGGGCGUCUGGCCCGAUGCAGCGAACCCUGGUGCAGAGCCGCCGUACGUGCUUUGCCCGGAGGACUCGCAGCCGACGCCUGAAGACACAGCGCGGUUAUGGAACCUCAGCGAUGACCAGCAGCAGGCGUUCAUGCUGUACGCGCAGCUCCUGCUAGCAGAGGCCGCCGGCGUCCGUCAGCCCCCCGUGUGCUCGGUGCUCACGGGCAAAGCCGGCAGCGGCAAGUCGCGGGUGCUGCAGGCAUUGCUGUGGUUUGCAUAUCAGCACCGCUGCGAGUCUCUCAUUGCCCUCGUGAGCUACACGUGGCGCGCUGCGCUGCAUGUGAGUUGUGUGUGGGGUGUGUGGGGUGUGUGGUGCAAGAGGGGUUCAGUUCGGAGGUGAAGUGUGGCGGUGGUGGACUGGUUUAGCAGCCAGGGAGCCUUACAUGAUCAUGCUGUUGACUUCGGCCGCUGCCAUCACGGUCCAUUUACAGGACUCUACGCCAGGCGUGCUCGGCACCAGCACCACGUCCUUCUUUGCGACUGCUGGCACCUUUGGUCCGCCUCACCGCGAUCGAGUCGAGCGCAACCUCAAUGGUGUGCGCUUCAUUUUCCUAGAUGAGUUUAGCACGUGUGGGCUGUCCCACUGGGCGCGCAUUUGCAUGCAUGUGCACGCGGCACGGAGGCACGUGGGUAUAGACAGCACGCACCUAUAUCACGGGCCGCUGUCAGAUCUGCAUGGCCUGCUUGUUGGCGACUUGCGUCAGUUGCCACAGCCACGGCACGUGCCGCUAUAUAGCGGUGCUGCGGAGGAGAGCUUGCGGCAGCUGCUGGCGCCGGGCGCGGGGGACGGCGGGGCCAUGGAGCGCCAGAUCCGGCAGCUGGAGCAUCCGGAGGGCAGCAUGAACCUCAUGGGGCGGGAGCUGUGGAAUAUGGUGCCGUUCGCGUUCGUUCUCACUCACCAGCAUCGGCAGCAAGCAGGCGUAGGUGACAACAACGAACCUCUCUUCAUGCUAGCGGAGAAGUUUGGUGGCGUGCAGGAAAUCUCUCAGGCAGAUCUGGAUACAGCGUGCCAGCAGCUCAACGCGCGUGUUUGGCAGCCCCCGAAGCCAGGGAUUGACCCCGUGCCCCAGCCCUUUGCAGUUGUCCAGCGCCAUGUUGUGCGGGUUCCACUGGCAUUGCAGCUCGUGCAGCUGCAUGCGCUCGCGCAGCGUCAGCAGCUGCUGCUAUGGCGUAGCGCGGACUUGUCGCCGGACGGGAGCAGCUUACCUAUUUCGCAUGUGCAUCAAUUAGAGGCGCUUGGCGGGGCCGAGGAUGAUAGCGGUGUGCCCGCUGUGUGCGCAUUCUUUGCUGGCAUUCGUUACGUGUUUACAUCAAAUGAGCAUGUGCGUCUGUAUCACAUCAACAACAACAGUGCCACAGGCACCGGCAUUGUUCUGCAUCCCAACGAGCCACCAUUGCCAGAUGCAAGCAUUGCCCCCGUGCAUGUCCUCAAGUUCGUGCCCUCGGCUGUAAUGGUGCGCCCCGACGGGCCUGAUGCGGGUCGGGUGUCUGUCGAUCAGGCCCUGGAUGUCGGGGAGAUUCCUGUUUUACCGUGCAGUGCUAUGUUCACAUCGCAGCAUGCAACCCUGCGGUUGCCUGUGAUGCGCUGGGGCUUUCGUGUGGAGCUUGCGUAUGCAGUCACCGAUUACUUUGCGCAGGGGCAAACUCUGCCAGCGCACGAACUGUGGCUGGUGGAUAUGUGCAAACCGCAGCACGGCAGUUGGCGGCGGGCUUCAAUUUACGUAAUGCUCACCAGGUUUCGUGGGUUGCAUGCCUUACAUUUAGUGCGUCCGCUGUGGGCCUCGCGGGCCGAAGAGCGCCGGCUUAAAAAGGCGCUGCGUACCAUGCUAACGCCCGAGGCAGAUCUAGCCGCGGAAUGGCAGCGGCUAUUGAGGCUCUCGCAGAGCACAGCAGUAGCAGUGCCAGGUAUGAUUGUGCGCAUUCAGGCCAGCAUGGCUGCCUCAUAACCAAGGCUUUCAAUGCAUGCAGUAGUGUUUUUAACAUGCGCGAGGUGUACUGACAGAUGACCUGGAAGCGUGGAGUACCUUGUGGGUGGUGAGUGCUGACUGCAAUUUACAGCAGUGACUUUCUUGUUGGUGUUUGGUGUGGUGACCAUCAUGCUUGGCUUCGCUGGCUGGACGUAUGUCACUGAGCUACGUUCGGGUUUAGUUUCUACCUGUCCUGUCUCUGCGUGAAGCCGGGGUAUUGUUUAUCUGCUUGCUUGUCGUGCGUUGGAUUGUUGUGUGUUUACAACAGGUUGAUGUGUGGCGUGGUUAAUCCCUUGCACUUUGAGGAGGUUAUUGUUAGCCAGCUGGUGUUCGCACAGGAGGUUGGUGGUCGAUGAACAGUCGACCGACAGAUGGAUCGCGGGAUUUGUUUUUGGCAUUUACCGCUUGGAUUCUAUUCGCAACGUAGCUCGGAAUACACGCUUAAUAUGCAUAGUUAGAAGACUUCGGGGACGCAAAUCGCUCGGAAAUGGAGGAGGGUCUCAAUAUGCUCGGCUCGCGAUGUCGCGCUCUUGAGCUUGUAUUAUGCACUGUGCGCAAUGCGCGUUCAGCAUGCAUAUUCUUACGAACAACUAGGGACUUGAGUGACGCGGUGUGAAAAUCAGUCGGGGUCUCGACAUGCUUGGCUCGCCAUUUCGCGCUCCCGAGCUCGUUGUGUGUGUUCCGAACAAUGCACGCUCAGAAUUACAUGUUCAAUAUGUCCGUCGCGAUGUUCGAGCUUGAAAACCGACAAGCAUGGUGUAUAGAUACACCUGGUAGCCUGAAUUCCUGUGUUUUUGGUGUAUUUUGUUGAUGUUGCAUCACGCCGUGCCUUGUCACAUUCAUGUUUUUUGUACCGGCGUGGCCUUGUUUGUAAAUUUCGCGGCGCCCUGAUCUUAUCUACUUCUUCGCUGUGAUCUGGCAAAAAAAACUGUUCUUGACGGGAUUCGAACCUGUGACAGCAUCUCACUAAGCGCCAUAAUCAGACCCUCCAGAGGAGGGUGUGCACUGAGUUAGCGAUCCGGUGAUGUCGUGGACACACUGAAACGGGGGGCGAACGCACCCACGCACAUCAGCGACCCGCGCACGUGGACACACACGGCCACGGCCCCAACCUGCCCGGCCCUCCCAAACUCAUUUCUAAAGCAAGCCAAAUACCAGCACGCUAACCCAAAGACGAUACACGCCAUGGCUGACGAAGCACGACGCUUUCCUAACGCGCGAUUCCAGACCCACCAUGCUCUGGCCCACGACGUGAAUGGCACUGUCUGGACAGAUGGUUCGGUAAGCAAAAUCAAAACUGACAAUGGCAAAGAAGUCCAGGUUGCCGGCGCCUGCGCCUGGUUCAGCGAUUCUCGCGUUGUCUACGUGAAUCCAAAUGGCGAUGGGUGCACAAACACUAUUACGAGAGCUGAACUGGCAGCAAUUCGUGCUGCCCUCGCAGAAUUUGGUGGCGAAGGUAAAGAAUUUGCAACUAAGAAGCUCACUAUUGCAUCAGAUUCUGUUGCAAGCUUGUACCUAAUCAAACGAGCAAUUAACGAGCCUCGGCGACUGCAUCUGAGUAAGCACCGUGACCUCCUGGAUUCAAUCAUGGCAUUGCUCCAUGCACGCCACGCUCGGGGAGCACCCACCGCUCUGAUUAAAGUGAUCUCGCACACCGGGCUACACGGCAACGAGGAAGCCGAUAAAGGGGCGGCUGCCGUCGCCACCCAGGAAAAACCCGCCGAUGUAUCCGAACCGGCCGACAACGACCCGCUCGCCCGGCACUGGUGGCCGACCUUCACGGUCACCAGGGACGACGAUAGCACAGCCACGCACUACGUGUCGGACCUAAACCGGGGCCUCACCAGGGCAAUGGCCCCCAGCUGCCGUGGUGGAUACGCCAACAAAACCCUGUACACUGAGAAAUGGGCCGAGGCAGCACCCAGCCUUGACCCACGCGCCAGUAACGCGUACAUGACGAACUCGGACGCCAGCCACGGCCUACGCCGGUUCAUACAGAAUGCUCGUCAGGGAGGCCUCAUCUGCCCGGCCCGGCUGGCUUUGUUUAAACUACGAGACAGCGACAAAUGUGGUCUCUGUGCCCACACCCAGCGCAGCCGCGGAUCUGACCCAGAGCGUGGCACCGCAGGUCACAUUGCCGGCCACUGCGCGCACCCCCAACUCGUUGGCGCUAGGAUAGCCAAACACAACACUGCAGUGCGGACGAUUGCCGAAUGCCUACACCAUGGUCACAACGGUGGUGGCUACAUGAUAAUGGAUGCCACCUCCCGAGCUGAACUGCCUGAGUACUGUGCGGGCAUGCGGCCGCCGUCAUGGCUCUGCCCGCAAGUGCCCGCUGCAGACCUCAACAGGAUGCGGCCUGACAUUCUGUUUAUCCCGAACCUUCCCCGGUCCGAAGCAGAACGCUUCAUGACAUCCCCACCAGCCAACAAAGGGGCCUACCCAGUGUACGUCCUUGAAGUUGGAUACACCUCUGACCUGCACCACAGCGAGAAGCUCAUUCAAAAACAAGCACAGCACGCCACCCUUGCCACUGCCAUGCGAGCUGCAGGGUGGACUGUGCACUACGAUACUAAACACGUUAUUACACUGGGCCACGGUGGCACUGUCCCCCGUACCCUUGAAACCCUCCUCAAAGACCUAGGAGCCAAACCGCAGGCAGCCAAGGCCUGCUGCACACGUCUCCACAUGCAUAGCGUCACCACACUCCGGGGCACCGCAAACCUGUACUACCGGCUAGAGCGAGAGAUGGGCAUUGCCAACACCCGAUGCCGCCCGGGAGGCCGCACCCAGGGGACCGCCAAUGGCGGCCCCCGCGCAGGGGAGCCGGGGUAGGGAAAUCAAGUUUUCCGAUGGUGGGGUGAGCUUGUCUCACUCCUCCUUAAGACACGCGGGCACCUGUGCCCUGCGUAGAUAUUAUUAUUAUUAUUGCCCUGUGGGCUUGACACCAUCCAGCCGCGGGAAAGGGCGCGAGCAUGGUGGGCCGUAACCUGAUUGUGACGCCAUAGCAGCUGUAGCCAGCUCCAUGCCCUGCGGGCUUGACACCAUCCAGCCACGGGAAAGGGCGCGAGCACGGCGGGCCUUAACCUGAUUGCGAUGCCAUAGCAACUGUAGCCAGCUCCAUGCCCUGCGGGCUUGACACCAUCCAGCCACGGGAAAGGGCGCGAGCACGGCGGGCCUUAACCUGAUUGUGAUGCCAUAGCAACUGUAGCCAGCUCCAUGCCCUGCGGGCUUGACACCAUCCAGCCGCGGGAAAGGGCGCGAGCACGGCGGGCAUUGAGACUGACCGUGCGCCAUCAGCUCGCAGCCCAACCUGCAACCUUGACACCACGAAAACGGGCCCAUGCACGGCGGACCUGGAGCUAAUGUACGCCAUUGCGCCUGGCUCAGCGACCUGCGGGCGUCAAGCGGCGCGAAUGUUGACUUGUGGACCCACACAUUCUGUCCACAAAACAAACUCCUGGCAUUGUCUCAGUGCAAUGCACAUGUUACCCGAGCCAGCAAUCACAUGGUACUACGCCGGGCCCUUUGCAGACUGGAAAAGCCCCGGUCAAUGCGCGGUUGCCUUUGUUUACCGGUGAGCUUGUUAUGCCAGCUCGUUAUCAUGAGCCAGCUUCAUUACUACAUUCAUGUUUUGCAUUGUUUUGAUACUGUCGCUGCAUAUAGUCGACAAGUAAGGCAUCCACCGCUCAAGCACAGUCGUCCCAGAAUAAGAGCGACGCGAAUAAUGGUUGGUUCAUUGUAUAGCUUGCUGUAGUUUAUGUAUUAUAGAGGCAUAUGCGUGAACGCAGACUGCAGAGAAAUGAAGUGAACUCCUGAAAUGCCCCAUGCCGCCGACAUUGCAUGGCAAGCCAGCAGGGCCCCGGGCAAUGUUGUGUUUUGUACUGGGAAAGAUGUCAGCUUCUAACUUAGUGUACUAGGAAGGAUGUAAGAUGGAGACAACGGCCUCAACCCGGUGAUGUAAAGUACUCUGCACUCCUGGACGGCUUUGGGUGUUGGGGUUGAUUGAUUUAUAUAGGCAUUAGUCAAUAUGCUUUGUGGCCAAGUUCAAAUACACAACUCGACGAGUUGACGAACAUGGGUUUGCGUCCCCCGGCCGGGGGACGCGCGACCACUUUCCCUAAGACUCCCGAAAAGCCCAAACUUCUGCGACAAGUACUCUGAGUGCAUAACAGACUAUUGAUAUCAACCGCUAAAGCCAUGCACCAGUGACAGCAGUGACCGGGGGGGUUCAUUGCUGCCUCGGUCGACACAACCAGCUGCUCAGCUGCAUUCCUAUGCUCAGGAAGCAUACACUACAUGCAACUACAUUACUAAAGUAAGUUUACAGCUCAGGAAGCGCGGCGGUCUCAGCUUGGCCGUCAGCGACUGCCUGAGUUUACUGGGGGGUUCAGGGGCGCGGCAGGUGCGAGGUUGCCCCAAGGAUCCCACAGGCCUCGCCCCAGACUUCUCGCCCCUAUGUUCCCAACGUGGUCUGCUAGCCUAACACCCCCAGCCGCCAUGGCUAAAGGCACGGCCGCGGCCAGAGCUGCACGCGUCUACUUUGGGGGCAGGCCCUGGCCAGGCUGGGUGGGCCUGGGUGGCAGCUGGGCGAGCCUGGGCGGCAGCUGGGCGGCCCUGGGCGGCAGCUGGGCGGGCCUGGGCGGCAGCUGGGCGGGGGCUGAGCGAGCCUGGGCAGAGCCUGGACAAGGGCCUGGACAAGGGCUGGAAAGGAGCCAAAUACCAAUGGGUUACCGGGAAGUGACCAUUUUACCAACGUUAACCGAUGUUUUACCGUGUGGCCAACCCCUACCAAUCGAAACCGAUGCUGACUGACGCUGACCAUUGGUUUAUCAGGGUGACCGCCCGGUUACCGCCCCCAUACCGAUCGGUUUAAUAGGGGCUGGAACGGUAGGGUCACUCUAGCCGGUAGUACAGGUUUGCGGUGCCCCGGAGUGUGGUGACGCUAUGCAUGUGGAGACGUGUGCAGCAGGCCUUGGCUGCCUGCGGUUUGGCUCCUAGGUCUUUGAGGAGAGUUUCAAGGGUACGGGGGACAGUGCCACCGUGGCCCAGUGUAAUAACGUGUUUAGUAUCGUAGUGCACAGUCCACCCUGCAGCUCGCAUGGCAGUGGCAAGGGUGGCGUGCUGUGCUUGUUUUUGAAUGAGCUUCUCGCUGUGGUGCAGGUCAGAGGUGUAUCCAACUUCAAGGAUGUACACUGGGUAGGCCCCUUUGUUGGCUGGUGGGGAUGUCAUGAAGCAUUCUGCUUCGGACCGGGGAAGGUUCGGGAUAAACAGGAUGUCAGGCCGCAUCCUGUUGAGGUCUGCAGCGGGCACUUGCGGGCAGAGCCAGGACGGCGGCCGCAUGCCCGCACAGUACUCAGGCAGUUCAGCUCGGGAGGUGGCAUCCAUUAUCAUGUAGCCACCACCGUUGUGACCAUGGUGUAGGCAUUCGGCAAUCGUCCGCACUGCAGUGUUGUGUUUGGCUAUCCUAGCGCCAACGAGUUGGGGGUGCGCGCAGUGGCCAGCAAGGUGACCUGCGGUGCCACGCUCUGGGUCAGAUCCGCGGCUGCGCUGGGUGUGGGCACAGAGACCACAUUUGUCGCUGUCGCGUAGUUUAAACAAAGCCAGCUGGGCCGGGCAGAUGAGGCCUCCCUGACGAGCAUUCUGUAUGAACCGGCGUAGGCCGUGGCUGGCGUCCGAAUUCGUCAUGUACGCAUUACUGGCGCGUGGGUCAAGGCUGGGUGCUGCCUCGGCCCAUUUCUCAGUGUACAGAGUUUUGUUGGCGUGUCCACCACGGCAGCUGGGGGCCAUUGCCCUGGUGAGGCCCCGGUUUAGGUCCGACACGUAGUGCGUGGCUGUGCUGUCGUCGUCCCUGGUGACCGUGAAGGUCGGCCACCAGUGCCGGGCGUGCGGGUCGUUGUUGGCCGGUUCGGAUACAUCGGCGGGUUUUUCCUGGGUGGCGACGGCAGCCGCCCCUUUAUCGGCUUCCUCGUUGCCGUGUAGCCUGGUGUGCGAGAUCACUUUAAUCAGAGCGGUGGGUGCGCCCCGGGCGUGGCGUGCAUGGAGCAAUGCCACGAUUGAAUCCAGGAGGUCCCGAUGUUUACUCAGAUGCAGUCGCCGAGGCUCGUUAAUUGCUCGUUUGAUUAGGUACAAGGCAAGGGCAUUCGUCCACGAAUGACCACGGGGUGCGGGGGGUUGGGGGAUGGCUCCUGCCCCUCUCAGGACUAAAAUGCCCGAGUAGCUGUGAACAGCGGUGUGAACUUUCCUGCCACAGGAACAUACCAUACUUCCCUGCAGAUCUACUUGGGCCACACACAGGGGAGUGUGUAGGUGAAUCCCAAGACCUUUGUAAUGUGUGAUGUAACAGUGUUUCACAGCCUUGGGCCCCAGCUCCUACAGACUACUACAACUAUUACCAGCCAACACUAUCAACAAGCAGUUGCCCAGACACUAUUUGCACGUCAACCCCCAUCAAACAAGGGCACCACAAGUCCUGCUUUACUAUCUGCUAGCUCUACUUCAAAAGCUUUUAUAUGCUUGAUGGGAGAACAUUUCGCUUGAGUACCAUGUAUGGCCCCUGACACAGUAAUUCACCAGGCAUCUGACGAACCUGACACUUUCCACAACAGCAAUACACUUUCCACAACAGCAAUACGACAGCUCCUUUGAUACAAGACAUUUGUCUCUAUCUCACAGUAGUUCUUAUGCUCAGGGCUGCGUUAGCUGAAUGAGGGUGUUCGGGCCCCCUUCAACUACUCUCCCACUUGUAUCCCUUGUUGCCCCCUGCUACCCCUGCCCUGUUACUCUAGUUACCCCCCAAUCCCCUCACCCGCCCCCUCACAUGUCCCCUCAAAUGUCCCCUCACAUGUCAAGUGAUAGCUUCCGCCCUUGACUUGUAAUCCUUCACUCAGCACCCUCAAGGUCCUCCCCUACAUUGCAAGCAGGCCUCUUGCACCAACCAAUUUACACCAGCCUUGACUACCUUCACAUCGAGCCUGGUGUCAACCCCACUGAUCCCAAACUUAUUCUACUUAUUCCCCACCAACACCACGCCUCCUGGGUAAUCCACCUAAAGAGCCGCCGCAGGUCCUGCAGCCACAUACAGCAGUUAUUGCAUGCACACAGCACAGAACCAAGCCAUUCAUGCCCACCCGGCCCCGCCGCCCAGCCCGCCACCUGCCUAGCGGUGCAAGCCCGGGUCGCAGCCUCAGGACAUUCAGUGGCAUGCCUGGGUGCGUGUGGCGGAGUGCCACGACACGGCGGCACCCAGGUAGCAUCGCAGGUGGUGAUACGGUUCGUGCCGUCCGCCCCCAGCCCACACCCCCACCCACCCGCCCCGCCAUGGCGCCCACACGCCUGCGCAACCUGCCUUGACGGUGCAAGCCCACGCAGCAGCCUCAAGACAAUCAUUGGAAUGCCUGGGUGCCUGUGGCGGUGUGCCCCGACACGGCGGCACCCAGGUAGCAUCGCAGGUGGUGAUACGGUUCGUGCAGACCGCCCCCCAGCCCCCAGCCCCACCCAGCCGCCUCGCCAUGGCGCCCACACGCCUGCGCAACCUGCCUUGACGGUGCAAGCCCACGCAGCAGCCUCAGGAAAUCAAGCGGCAUGCCUGGGAGCCUGUGGCGGCUUGCCCCGACUCGGGUGCGCCAAGGUAGCAUCUCAUGGUGACACGGUUGGUGCUGUCCGCCCCCAGCCCCCACCCCCACCCAGCCCCGCCGCCUGCCACCUGCCUUGCGGUGCAAGCCCGGGUCGCAGCCUCAGGACAUUCAGUGGCAUGCCUGGGUGCAUGUGGCGGUGUGCCCCGACACGGUGGCACCCAGGUAGCAUCGCAGGUGGUGAUACGGUUCGUGCCGUCCGCCCCAGCCCACACCCCCACCCGCCCCGCCAUGGGGAGCCCAUGCGCCUGCGCCGCCUGCCUUGACGGUGCAAGCCCACCAAGCAGCAUCAGGACAUCGAGGUGCAUGCCUGAAUGCCUAUGGCGGCGUGCACCGACACGGAUGCGCCUAGGUAGCAUCGCAGGUGGUGAUACGGUUCGUGCAGACCGCCCGCCCCACCCCCCACCCCCACCCCCACCCGUCCCCGCCACAGCGCCCACAUGCCUGCGCCACCUGCCUUGACGAUGCAAGUCCACGCAGCAGCCUCAAGACAUCAAGCGGCAUGCCGGGUGCCUACAGUGGUGUGCCCUGACGCGGGUGCGCCCAGGUAGCAUCGCAGGUGGUGAUAAUGACGAGUGUGGUGGGAACGAAUGCGUACGUAGACCAGAGCGGACGGCGGAGUGGGCUUGCAGGCGGCACGAGAGUAGGCAGUCAGUAGCGCAAGUUGCGAAUUCACAUGUUACCUCGUAACCGACGAUAAACGCUGUGGACGGUCGCGCCCAUGGCUGGCUGACAGAAAGCGGCUGCUGUAUUGGGAUGGCUGGGCUGGACGACGGCGGCCGGGCGUUGCUUGGGACUACCAGAAAGGAUGCGCCCGAGACCCCCGAUACGGUUCGUGCUGUCCGCCCCCAGCCCCGACCCCCACACCCUCCCGGCCCCGCCACGGCACCCACACGCCUGCACAACCUGCCUUGACGGUGCAAGCCCGGGUCGCAGCUUCAGGACAUCAAGCGUCAUGCCGGGGUGCCUACAGUGGUGUGCCCUGACGCGGGUGCGCCCAGGUAGCAUCGCAGGUGGCGAUACAGUGCGUGCUGUCCGCCCGCAGCCCCGACCCCCAACGCCCACCCGGCCCCGCCACGGCACCCACGCGCCUGCGCCACCUGCCUUGCGGGACAAGCCCGAAUCGCAGCCUUAGGACAACCAGUGACAUGCCUGGGUGUCUGUGGUGGCUUGCCCUGACUCGGGUGCGCCAGAUAGCAUCGCAUGUGGUGACACCGGUUCGUGAUGUUCGCCCCCAGCCCCCAGCCCCACCCACGGCGCCAGCACGCCUGCGCCACCAGCCUUGACUGUGCAAGCCCACGCAUCAGCCUCAAGACAUCCAGUAGCAUGUCUGGGUGCCUGUGGCAGCGUGCCCCGACGCUAACAUGCCCAGGUAGCAUCGCCGGUGGUGACACCGAUUCGUGCCGUCGGCCCCCAGCCCCCACCCCCAGCCCCCACCCCCACCGCCCCCACCCCAACACCCACCCGCCCCUGCCACGGCGCCCAUACGCCUGCACAACCUGCCUUGACGGUGCAAGUCCACGCAGCAGCCUCAAAACAUCAAGCGGCAUGACGGGUUGCCUGUGGCGGCGUGCCCCGACGCGAACACGCCCAGGUAGCAUCACAGGUGGCGAUACGGUUCGUGCUGUCCACCCCCAGCCCCUACCCCCACCCACCGCUUCACCCACGCCGCCCAUACGCCUGCACAACCUGCCUUGAGGUGCAAGUCCACGCAGCAGCCUCAAAACAUCAAGCGGCAUGCCGGGGUGCCUACUGUGGUGUGCCCUGACGCGGGUGCGCCCAGGUAGCAUCGCAGGUGGUGAUACGGUUCGUGCUGUCCGCCCCCAGCCCCCAGCCCCACCCACGGCGCCAGCACGCCUGCAGAACCAGCCUUGACGGUGCAAGCCCACGCAGCAGCCUCAGGACAUCAAGCGGCAUGCCGGGGUGCCUACGGCGGUGUGCCCUGACGCGGGUGCGACCAGGUAGCAUCGCAGGUGGUGAUACGGUUCGUGCUGUCCGCCCCCAGCCCCGACCCCCACCCCCACCCGGCCCCGCAACGGCACCCACACGCCUGCACAACCUGCCUUGACGGUGCAAGCCCGGGUCGCAGCCUCAGGACAUUCAGCUGCAUGCCUGGGUGCCUGUGGCGGUGUGCCCCGACACGGCGGCACCCAGGUAGCAUCGCAGGUGGUGAUACGGUUCGUGCCGUCCGCCCCCAGCCCACACCCCCACCCCCACCCGGCCCCGCCACGGCACCCACACGCCUGCGCCACCUGCCUUGACGGUGCAAGCCCGGGUCGCAGCCUCAGGACAUUCAGCUGCAUGCCUGGGUGCCUGUGGCGGUGUGCCCCGACACGGCGGCACCCAGGUAGCAUCGCAGGUGGUGAUACGGUUCAUGCCUCCCGCCCCCCGCCCACACCCGCCCACACCCACUGACCCCGCCACGGUGCCCGUGAGCCUGCGCAACCUGCCUUGACGGUGCAAGCCCGCCCAGCAGCAUCAGGACAUCGAGGUGCAUGACUGGGUGCCUGUGGUGGCGUGGGCGCACCCAGGUACCUAUCGCAGGUGGUGAUACUGUUCGGGUCGUCCGCCCCGCCUAUCUACGAUUUAGCGACCGCUCAUGAGCCAUCAUCUAAGAUAAACAUCAGGAGACAAGCAACGUUCUACAAAGCUGCAAAAUGCCUUCAGUGAAAGCCACACGAAAAAUGGUGCCGGCGACGCUCAUAUAAUGCAGCAGGAGCCCACACUAGUCAUUGUUCUAUGCUCCAUAAGCUAAUGCCUGAACAGGGGAGGGUAACAUUGCGCAUGUGCUGUGAAACCUUCUUCAAUUGCAUUUGGACGGGAAGCUUUCCCGUCUGGACGGGAAGCCAUCCCGUCUAGACGGGAUGGGUUCCCGUCUAGACGGGAUGGGUUCCCGUCUAGACGGGAUGGGUUCCCGUCUAGACGGGAUGGGUUCCCGUCUAGACGGGAUGGCUUCCCGUCCAGACGGGAAGCCUUCCCGUCUGGACGGGUUGGAGUCCCGUCUAAACGGGAUCCCAGGAAUGUUUUUUUCUUCUGCAAGAUAAUUAUGUAUUCUGCAGGGUACAAAUGUCAUGCAGGUAACGGCGGUAUCCUGUCAGGGUCGCGUCCGCAGUUCCCUGACAGGGCUGAAAUGGUCUGCAGAGGACUACGUAUCCCUGCAAACAUAUAAAUGUUCCUGUGCGUAUCGUCUGGACGGGACUCCAACCCGUCCAGACGGGAAGCCUUCCCGUCCAAAUGCAAUUGAAGAAGGUUUCACUGCGCAUGCAUAGAGUUACCCUCCCCCAUUCAGGCAAUCACUUAUGGAGCAUAUAACAAUGACUAUUGUGGGCUCCUGCUACAUUAUAUGAGCGUCGCUGGCACCAUUUUUCGUGUGGCUUUCACUGAAGGCAUUUUGCAGCUUUGUAGAACGUUGCUUGUCUCCUGAUGUUUAUCUUAGAUGAUGGCUCAUGAGCGGUCGCUAAAUCGUAGAUAGGCGGGGCGGACGACCCGAACAGUAUCACCACCUGCGAUGCUACCUGGGCGCGCCCGCGUCGGGGCAAGCCGCCACAGGCUCCCAGGCAUGCCCCUUGAUUUCCUGAUGCUUGCACUGUCAAGGCAGGUGGCGCAGGCGCACGGGCUCCCCGUGGCCAAGGGGCUCCAUGGCGGGGCGGGUGGGGGUGUGGGCGGGGGGCGGGAGGCACAAACCGUAUCACCACCUGCGAUGCUAUCUGGGUGCCGCCGUGUCAGGGCACACUGCCACAGGCACCCAGGUAUGCCACUGAAUGUCCUGAGGCUGCAACCUAGGCUUGAACCGUCAAGGCAGGUGGCGCAGGCACCCUGGCGCCGUGGCGGUGGGGGUGGGGCCGGGGGCUGGGGGCCAACGCCAUGACAGCAGUCUCACCACAUGCCAUGCGACCUGGGCGCACCCGACCUGGGCGCACCCAUGUCGAAGCACACCCCCACAGGCACCCAGGCCUGCCGCUAGAUGUCCUGAGGCUGCUGCGAGGGGUUUCACCUCAAAGCAGGUGGCGCAGGCACGCUGGGGCUAUGGCGGGGCAGGUGGGGGUGGGGCUGGGGGCUGGGGGCUGGGGGCUGGGGGCUGGGGGCUGGGGGCUGGGGGCUGGGGGCUGGGGGCUGGGGGCUGGGGGCUGGGGGCUGGGGGCUGGGGGCUGGGGGCUGGGGGCUGGGGGCUGGGGGCUGGGGGCUGGGGGCUGGGGGCUGGGGGCUGGGGGCUGGCGGCUGGCGGCUGGCGGCUGGCGGCACUAACCAUAUCACCACCAGUGCUCGUAUCUUAAGAAGGCAGGUGCGGUGCCAGUGACAGAUUUCCGAAAUAGGGCAUCUUUAAUUUUCAGAAACCAGCUGCCGCAGCAUCCAUCUUUCAUCCCAAAACGUUUCCGGGGGCUCCGCCCCCGACCUAUGCACGGUUCGUGUCAAGCCAGGGGUGUGGCAGGCAGUGUCAGCAAUCUCUCAAUCUCCCAUUCGUGCCGUGCAUCCAUCUCAAAACAGAAACUCCACACAAACACACAGCUUGGUACACAUGGCUGGUACUGGGCAUCUGGUGCAAACAAGCUUGUCCUGUUACAGCGUGCAGGGUGAGGUUGCUGUUGCCCCCAGCCCACGUUUCGGCUCCGGCACAGCAAAUAAAAUAUUCCGCCGCACGGGAUGUGCCCCUGUUACAGCGUGCAGUGUGAGGUUGCUGUUGCCCCCAGCCCACGUUUCGGCUCCGGCACAGCAAAAUAUUCUGCCCCACGGGAUGUGCCCCUGUUACAGCGUGCAGUGUGAGGUUGCUGUUGCCCCCAGCCCACGUUUCGGCUCCAGCACAGCAAAAUAUUCCGCCGCACCGCAUGUGCCGCUGUCACAGCAUGCAGGGUGAGGUUGCUGUUGCCCCCAGCCCACGUUUCGGCUCCGGCACAGCAAUAUAUUCCGCCGCACCGCAUGUGCCGCAGUCACAGCAUGCAGGGUGAGGUUGCUGUUGUCCCCAGCCCAUGUUUCGGCUCCGGCACAGCAAAAUAUUCCGCCGCACCGCAUGUGCCGCAGUCACAGCGUGCAGGGUGAGGUUGCUGUUGCCCCCAGCCCAUGUUUCGGCUCCGGCACAGCAAAAUAUUCCGCCGCACCGCAUGUGCCCCUGUUACAGCGUGCAGGGUGAGGUUGCUGUUGCCCCCAGCCCACGUUUCGGCUCCGGCACAGCAAAAUAUUCCGCCGCACGGAAUGUGCCCCUGUUACAGCGUGCGGGGUGAGGUCUGUUGCCUUCGUUGCUGAAAAAGCACCGGCUCUAUGGCUCCAUGGCAAAACGUGGCCCAUCCCCACGCCAAACCCCAGCGCCCUCUCCCACGCUCACCACGCUCACCCACCCACGUAAUGACUCCCCUACCUAGUAGAAGGCUGCCCUAUCUUGGUGUGCCCCCACGGUGCCAGCAGGACACGGCCGUAGAUAGAGUUUCCUGGGGAACCUCAUCAGUCACCCUUGCCUUGGGCCCGGACAAGUGACAGAAACACCAUAAAAUGUCUUCUGCGAAUCUCAGAAAGACCCCGCCAAACCUGAAGCGUUUCCACAGAUUUUUGGCCACGCACAAGAGUCAAAAAUUUCUUCCGCCGGAGGCAUUUUGGGGCAAAUUUCUGUCGAAAAGAAGGAAGAUACGAGCACUGAUCACCACCUGCGAUGCUACCUGGGCGUGGGGGCACGCAGCCACAGGCUCCCAGGCAUGCCCCUUGAUGUCCUGAGGCUGCUGCGUGGGCUUGCACUGUCAAGGCAGGUGGCGCAUGCAGGCGCACGGGCUCCCCGUGGCCCAGGGGCUCCAUGGCUGGGCGGGGGGGUGUGUGGGCUGGGGGCGGACGGCACGACAUGUGUCACCACCUGCGAUGCUACCUGGGUGCACCCGAGUUGGGGCACGCCGCCACAGGCACCCAGGCAUGCCACUGAAUGUAUGUCCUGAGGCUUCGACCCAGGCUUGCACCGCAAGGCAGGUGGCGGGCCGGGAGGCAGGGCCGGGUGGGGGUCGGGGUUGUAGAUACCAUCCCAAACUAAACCAAACCCAAUGCAGUAGGGCGAGGAGGAGAGCGUGGCAAUGGAGUGGCACACGGGGGCUGGGGGCGGACGCGCGCGCACUGCAAGUGUAUUCCGUGAGAUGUCAUAUCGGUUCUCUGUAUCCCAACAUUAUUACCACAACUCCUACCAUGCAGGCUCACAUUCUGCGCACUACCUUCAGACUCCACGCUGUACCGGCACUUGGUAUGUUGCUUUUUUGUGAUCUUCGAUCGCUGUAUGGCCUGCCCCUCAUGCGUGCCUAUGGCUGCUGCUGCAGGAGGGAUUCUCAGCUAUAUCCCGCCCGCGGCCCCUCUGAGUGGCCCACCUGGGAUGGAUGUCGCGCAAAGCCAGGUACGUCACAGUCACAGCGCAGUCACAGUCACAACCACGUCACAACUGGGCUAUGCAACCCUCACUAUGCACUAUGCACUGACAUCCACCCUCCCUCCACCCUCUCAAUCACUUGCUUGUCCUUUUACUCUUACCCUUCCCCAACAUCACACUGUUGCGCAUGCACAGCUACGCAGUUUCUUCACUGCUGUGGUGCUACUUCGCAGCAGAUGUAUGUGUGGACAGGCAAGUCAGGGAUGUCGGAUGGCAGAUUCCUUGAGAUCCUGAAAGUCUAGAAAGCCUUACCUGACAGUACAUACAUUCCUUCAUUUCUGUAAUCCAUUAUGUCUGCAGGACUACCCUGCGGAACGCCAAGCUUGUGCCAUCCGGGGAGCCCUGGCUGGAAGCCCCCUUGGAAACGGCCGCUUCCAUCAAACUUUGUUGAGGCAUCUGACUGAUAUAAUCGGUACAAUAAGGACAAAAGGCGUGAAACCUGGAUCGCCUAAGAGACUGUUGUGCUGUUGUGUGUGGUUACAAGGUGGUGAGCACGACGUGCAUUCCUGUCCUUGUAGAAACCUAGGCCCGGGCCGGGGGGCCCUUAUAACGCCUGCAACACUUACAUAUGCAGCUAGUUUGGUCCCCGAAUGGGGGUGUUUAUGCUCCUGUGCUCCCAAAUGGAAUCUAGUAACGCGGCUAACCUGGCCGGGUCCGCAUUCUGCAUGACGGCCUGCAUUCCGCCUGUAAAAUCGAUCUCGCUACCCAAACGCAACUGGUCGUAGGCCGUACACCGCAUGAGCACAUGAUUCUCAUCUUCGACUUCAUUUGCAACACAUAGCGGGCAAAUCCUCUCCUCCCUAGGUCGUCCAUAGGCGCGGUUGGCAGUAAGCGGCCAGCAGCAUAGGCGGAACCUCAUCAAGGCCUUGUGGUGCGCAACUGGUAUAAAUGCUCUACUGUGCCCUUGCAUGGUCAGUGGUGCCGCUCCUUCCGCACACAGCCCCAUCCAAUGCUUGUACUUGCUCAUCUGCACGCCUGGUUGCUUGUUGUCUGAUGGGAAAGUGCUUGGCUCAGACUGCAGCCGCUCGUGCUUCCACGCCUUCAUUAGACUCUCUCGAAAGGCGGAUACUAUUUGCCCUUCAGGCAGCGGGCUACCUGCUCGGCUCUCCUCCCUAAGAGACUGGUAAGCCUAAGAGACUGGUUGUCUUGGCCUACUAGUAUAUCAGAGUAAUGCAUAUGUGUAUUGGGGGGAGGUGCCAUUCAUGAUAUAUAUAGGGCAAAGAACCUCACCAGAACCAGACAUCAGUCUGUGGGGUGCGUUGAUGUGGGGUGUGUUGAUGUGGGCACAACCAAGGUUUGCCCCUUUGCUAUGACCUUUGCUAUGACUGUGUGCAUAGGUAUAUACGGUGUGCAUAGUAGCAGAGUUGUUGCUUAUGUUGCAGCAGUUGUCAGAGUAUGGAGUUCUAGGGAGUCUGCUAGUUCUGCCUGCACACUGCUGUGAUGGAUAAGAGGAGCUAGAGGAGCCUGGUCUUACAAAAAGAGCUAUCUUAGCCAUGUAGUAGUUGUGCUUGAGUAGUUGGGGAACGUGUCUUCCGCUGUCAUGAGCCUUGGGAACAUUUAUGAACAUUAAUUGACAAUGUACCCCUAGUACCACUAUGGUUUGACGCUGCACUGCAGUGUUUGGACAAUCCAGGAAAGGGCCCUGACAGGGACACUAUAGCCAGGGCUAAGUUGCCUCUACAGGAGCAAACUGGGGCUCAGGAAUCCACCGAACCUGCUCACAGCUAUUCCGUCCUGAGAGCCAGGAGCCAUCCCUCUAGGGGCGCACUGUCCUCACCCUGCCUGCGGGCCACCUGGCCCGCGGGCGUGGGCCAGCCUGACGCACAUCUUCCUGGAGUGUCCAGCUUAUGCGCAGGCGAGGACGUGGCUGCAGCAGCUGUGGGCCUGCGUUGCACCCCAGGCAGCAGCGCCGCCAGUGACAGACGCGGGCUUCAUGCUGGGGGACCGCAUCAUCACCGGAUCGCUAACUCAGUUAGUGAUUUGACUCGUCCUUACGGCAGAAGGGACCCGGGUACGAAUCCGGAUAAAAGCCCAAUUAUGCAAAAGGCGAAAGAUUGGUGCGAAACCGAUUGGUGAUCCCAUGAACGAUAGGUAAUUGCCCUUAGUGGCAAUUGCGGGCUUAUGCCCGCUGCAACCUAGAAAGGUCGUGGUGCAGAAGUCCGAUUAAGUGGCGAGGUCCAAGGUUCAAGACAAGGCUCAAGAUCCAAGGCUAGAGGAGGAGCGCCAUGGCUCCUCGGUUUGCAUGAACUGGCAGUGCUCCACUACUAUAACGCGGCGUUUCCCUAGCUCGAUAUGCUAGGUGUGCAGGCUUGGAUGUAGUGGACUUUGAAGAGCGGCCUAGGAGUUGGAGGUUGUAGUUUCGGAGCAACGCCAGCAAAGAAAACACCAGCGCUACGCACUCGCCCCGCCCAAACCCAC
rnacentral:lncRNA from 1 species